UAUCUACUCCCUCUGUCCCAAAAUUCUUGUCUUAGAUUUGUCUAGAUACGGAUGUAUCUAAUAUUUAUUAGAUACAUCCGUAUCUAGACAAAUCUAAGACAAGAAUUAUGAGACGGAGGGAGUACUUC
rfam:Triticum urartu cultivar G1812 contig894963, whole genome shotgun sequence.